CACUUAGCAAAUAUAAGGCUUAUGUCUCCUUGACCACUUAGGUUUUAUCUCUGCAGCUCCUGAUCUCAUACCCAGACUUUUGUUUCCACUCCCGUACUUUACCUUUGAUCAUGUGGUGGGAACUUAGUAAAUGACAUGCAAAGGCUGUAUCAGGAGGCCUGCAUUCCUGAGUGGGCAGUCCUCUCUGCAGCCUUCCUGGAGAUAGCGGAUAUCACAAAAUGUCCUUCAUGUCAGUGGUUAAAAGUAGAAUCCCAAUCCCACCGGCUGCCAGGAAGCCAGAGCCAAGCCUACCGCUGAGUUUCUGCUCAGCCCACGUGCCAGCUACAACUUCUAACUGCUCAAAUAUUUCAGAGUUUAGUGCUGUCUUCCCGGAUGUUUGUGAGGAGUGACUCCUGCCAACACACAGCGUUUCCACUGGUGUGAAUUUUUUAAGCCCAAUGUAACAAUAGGGUGAACACAAUUAACAGGGACUUUAUACACCUGCCGCACUGGACUGCGAGUCAGGAUGGGAAGACAAUGCUGAAAGACCUUUAAGGGGAAGGUUCUCGUUUCACUGGAAGAGGAGCCUACAUAAGGAACACAGGCUCUACCUCCUCGCUGGCCACGCCGGGAGGCGCAUGGGGAAGGAGUCUCUGCUGAAGAGAUGCAGAACCUUUGUGUGGAAAGGAUGAGCUGCCAAAGGGCAGCUUGUGAACAUGAAACAGAGAUGGAUAAAAACAUCUGCGGCCAGACAAAGAUAAUGUAGGAAAAUUAUGUGAGUUCUAUAGUCACAAAAUGACAAUAACCACAAAAUAGAAACGUGGCUUAGAGGAUGGGAGUAUAAAAAAAGACUUUAAAAAGAUAAUGCGAGUGGAAUGGUUAAGUAAAUUAUGGUAAUCCACAGAGUAGAAUUCCAGAGUAUAAAAAGGGACAUUAUAAAAUUAUGUGAAUGAAAAUACUGCACAGUUUACUAGGUUUAAAAGAAGUUACAAAACAGUAUAUUCUGUGAGAUCCAAUUUCUGUUAGAAAGAUAAACACAUACAUACCGCUGGAAAGAGUCACUACAAUACCAGUGCUUCUCAAACUUGAAAACAUACAAAUCUGCAUGUGAGCGAAAUCUAGGGGUCUGGUUAAAAUUCAGAUUCUGAUUCAGUGGGUCUGGAAUUCCCUCGGAGAGGCCUGCAACUCUGCAUUUCCAACAAGCUCCGAGGGGCUGCUCACGCGGCUGGUCCCAUGGACCACAGUUAGUAGCAAGGAUCCCAUCUAGCACGUUAACAAUGUUUCAGGGGUGAUGAGACAGAUUAUUUUACUUUUCUUCUUCCCUUAGUUUAUAAUUAUUUUCUAAUUAACUUGGGUAAAAAAACUGGAAAAAAAAUCAUGCUACGAAAAAACAAAAUUUAUUUUAAAAAGAGAAAAAAGGUGAAGCAAACUAAGAUGUCAUGGGAGAUGUAAUAAAACUGAGAGGAGCAGCUGAUACAAAAUUCAAGCAAAGGCGGAACAUGCAUGCCUAAGAAAAGGGUGGCGGGGUGAGGAGAAGUGAGGGACCUCUCUGAAAACAAGCUUGCAAGGUAAUUCUGGAGUCACUGGACAACUGGUAUAAGGCAGAACUGUUGGACUCUAGGGUAUAAACACCGACUUUUUUUUAUAUGAAAGCAAAUUAAGGAGUAGAGCAGUGAUAAAACAGGUGCAACCUGAGCUCCCCAGGUGUAGGUUGCCCUGCCAGGUGCACACGGGAGUCCAGCUGGGCCAACACUACCUCAGGGACUAAAGGACUUGAAAGAAGGGCUAUUCCUGCCCUCUCCAGUUGGAAGGAUAUUCUUUAUGAGGAACAAAGAAUGCAAUCUGGACACAAGUAGGAAAUUAUGGAAAUUUUGGAAAGGCGAGUGAGUCAUAGGCUAUGCCUAAGCCAGAACAUAGUGGAGUCGGAUGACUCCCAGGAAUAUGGAGUGAGGGAGCCUCAAGACAGUGGCUUGGCUGACAAAGCGGGGUUCCCGUCUCACUGAGCUUGGGUAGAGUGUGUGUUCCAAGAAGUCUGCACAGAGAAAAGACAACAUUUGUUGUCCUACAAAAAAAUCCAGCCUAAGCGACAGCCCACAGUCUUUGGUGGUGACAGCAGAGUGACAGUAGUGAGUGAUCAGGGCCCUGUUAUUUGGCACAAAAUACUGAGUGAAAAGCCAGACACCACAAAAUGCCAUCACCAGAGAUGAGGGUAAAGUUCAGGAGUUCCUGAUUCCUUAAUCAAUACCUAGGGCUUGGGGCAGAUGGCGGGUACUAUUUGUUAUCAGCCACUAUUAAUUGCUUGGCAACGCUAUUACUAACACAGAUAUCAAAAUCAAAAAGUAAUAUUCAUACACGAUCACAGAGUUAACAAGUCACCAACAAAAGGCGGGCAGGAGCUAGCCUACAUCCAGAAAGGAGUGUGCCCUCUGCUGGACAUAACAAUGGCGAGUUGGAAAAACAAGGAGGAAAAAGAAGCCUCAGGAUCGGAGAGAAAUCCUGGCUACUUCUGAGACCCCCUGCCCCCCGGCCGCACACAUAAUGGGGAGACACAGGAAUGUAUGGAAUAGUCAAUGGAUAUAAGUGUAUAUCAUCUCUAGACAUAUAUAGGAUUGAAUGAUCUCUGAAAAAAAAAAAUCACUACCUGCCGCUUAGAACGACGCCCUGCAAUUCACUCCCUUUCCUUCAACCCUUUAUAGGGCUUUGCACUCUGUCCGUUUUCCCUCUAGGGAUCACUCUUCCACUCACUGAGAAAUAGGAAGCAUUUUCUGGUAAAACCUUGUUAGGAAGCUGUUUGACCAGAGCAAGUUUGAAGUACUUGGUCAUUCUAUGGAGGUCUGUCAGGGCCAAGAGGCCUCAGGACGACAUCUCUCCCUCCUGCUCCCUCCCUGACUCACUCCCAGAGCUGCCACAGCUCCACACUCCUCACCUGUCUUGCUCAUUCUUUCUUUCUUCACCAUCUGAUGGGAUUGUAGUCUAGUAAAUUUCUUGCACAUGUUAUACAAAUCGAUGUAAUCUCUUCCCUCAAUAAAAUUAUUCUUUAAUGAUAUUAU